rnacentral:rRNA from 1 species
CACAUGUGACGAGUUUUGAUCCUGGCUCAGGAUGAACGCUAGCGGCAGGCCUAAUACAUGCAAGUCAAGGGGAUAGCAAUAUCACCGGCGGACGGGUGCGUAACGCGUACACAACGUGCCCAAGGGCGGAGGAAAGCGGCGGGAAACUGCCGGUAAUACUCCAUGGUGUUGUUGAGUGGCAUCACUUAACAACUAAAGUACAAGCGCCCUUGGAUCGGUGUGCGUUCGAUUAGCUAGUUGGCGGGGUAACGGCCCACCAAGGCUUCGAUCGAUAGGGGGUGUGAGAGCAUGACCCCCCCACACGGGUACUGAGACACGGACCCGACUCCUACGGGAGGCAGCAGUAAGGAAUAUUGGACAAUGGGCGGAAGCCUGAUCCAGCCAUGCCGCGUGAAGGACGAAGGCGCUCAGCGUUGUAAACUUCUUUUGGAUGGGAACAAUAACUCCGACUUGUCGGAACUUGAGGGUACCAUCAGAAUAAGCACCGGCUAACUCCGUG